ACAUCUUCCUUGAACACCAGGAUGAGGUUAUUCAAACCUUCUCCAGGUACUGUAAAAAGAUCCACAAUGAGAAGGGAACUAAAAUAUUCAACAUUAAGAGUGAUCGCAGUAAAUAAUUUAAAAAUCAUGACUUUUAUUGCAUUUUGUAAUAAAUUUGAAAUUGAUCGCAACGUCUCAAUACUUAAAACUAAAAGUAAAUGGAGAAAAAAUGGAGGAAAUUUUUUAAAUCUGCUAAAAUAGAAAGUCAAAAGCUCUAUGCAGAUUUUAGAAAUUUCACAUCCAUUAAGUGAAAAAUUUGACACAUUUUACUUCAAUAUUUAAUAAAAGAAAAAAAAGAAAAGUUCUUUUGUGUCAGAUUUGUAAAUCUUCCUCAAAUGACAUGAACAGAGCUGUCGUUUGAAAAACUUAGAACAAGCCUUUCAGAGAGUUUCAAGCAUACCAAUAUAUGAAAGAAUUUUCAAAAAGAAAAAGAACCUGAAGGUGGAACUUCUACCUAGACGCUUCCAAAUAAUCAUUUUUAAAAAAUAUAUAUAUAUAUAUAUAUCAUUUCAAAGAUACCAAGAGGGUACCCCCAAUUCUACAACAGUUACAGUACAAUCAAAUGAUCAUCGAAAACCAUUUUCAAAUUCUCGAGAUCCUGAAUGUCAUGUCCCAAAAAUAAAGAACAAAAAAAAUGAGACAUGCUGUUAAAAUCAUUUUUUAUCCCUUCAAAAGCUCUUGAAUUUCUCUCUUUCCACACAACCAACGUUAGAUAUAAUGGAAUCAACAUUAAAUAUUUUUUCUUCUCAUCCUUAACCGACCCCGUUAUAAACCAUUUAAUUCCCAACAUUCUAUAAAUAGAAGUGCACAGAUCAUAAACAGGCGGACACCGCAAUAAUAGACGGUUCCAAAUAAUCGUCUUAGUCCUCUUUGAUAGCUCUAGAGCCACCUAUGGCGGAAACUAUGAACAAGGCCAGUACGUCUAUGAAAACUCCUAGAAGAAGAGUGAGAAACUUGUUUCUGAGUCACAUCAAACAGGCUGCAUUUAAGGCACCACUUCCUAACAUAACCACAUUGCCUCCAACACCACCAGUAAAACUCGUUAUUGGGUCCAAAUCAAAUAGUGAUGAAGAAGAAGUAUCGUUGGUUUAGAAACCUAAGAAAAAGAUUCUUACCCUAAAGAAGUAGAAGAAAAUGGAGCCUCAACCAGAGAGUUCAGAAGAAUCUGAGAAUGAAUCCUCCCUACGAAGAAAGAAGAGAAAGAAGAAAAGAUGUCUCAUAAGAGAAAGGAGGAACUUCUAAAGGAGCAAACUCUGAGAAGAAAGAACCACUUAUUUAAACCACCAUUAAUGGUCAAGAAACAUUAUCAGACGAGUUUGUUUCUGAUUGAGUGAAAGAGAUGUUCAAGAACUUCAACAAUGCGCUUAUCCAACCAAACAAAUAGGUAAACUGGUCCUAUUUUUCAUCCCGAUUUUCAAUCAAAGGAUCUAGUUAAUAUCCCCUUGCUUGAUCAGAAAACGGCCAUGAAAUAACGUAAAUCGCUUUCACUGUUAACCCAAAACAAAAAUAAAAAACCAAAACAAAUAAGAGAGACAACCAUGAUUUGGGAUCUAGAAUGUUGAGGACGCAUCGGAAUCGUCAGAAGGCGGCAAAUCUGGAGAAGGCGAGUUCAUGGAGAAUGAUAAAGCUGGGCCAGAGUGUGAUAGCCGAAAGAGAUGAAGAGAGAGAGAGAGUACAAGGGUUUAGGUAGGAGAAAAGUUGAGAGUUUGUUGUUUCUGCGAC
rnacentral:lncRNA from 1 species